rnacentral:rRNA from 1 species
CGUAAGGACCGAGCGUUGUCCGGAAUCAUUGGGCGUAAAGGGUACGUAGGCGGUUUUUAAGUUAGAAGUCAAAGGACUAUAGCUCAACUAUAGUAAGCUUCUAAAACUAGGGGAACGUUGAGUAAUGGAAGGGAAAGUGGAAUUCCUAGUGUAGCGGUGGAAUGCGCAGAUAUUAGGAGGAAUACCGGUGGCGAAGGCGACUUUCUGGCCAUUAACUGACGCUGAGGUACGAAAGCGUGGGUAGCAAACAGGAUU